AAUGUAAGACAAGCGCCAGAACUUUUAACAAAAGUUGACGAGGACUGAGAUAAUCGAAAUUUCGGCGGGUUUCUCAGAGGUGGUUACAACCGUUACUAACAAAGCUAUAGGGUAACCUAUAGAACAAAGAGGUAACUGUAACAAGUC
rfam:Fusobacterium varium ATCC 27725 genomic scaffold supercont2.1, whole genome shotgun sequence.